GGUAUCUCAGACCCUCUCCGCACGCUGGGAAAAGGUGGUUAAUGCAACGGAACGCUCCCCGCAGCGGACGGCUUAAUCUGGGGGGCCAAGCGGAGGAGAGUGCUGGGGACGCGCGAGGCCUGGUGGAGCUUGUUUAAGGUCCAGUUUGUGGUCCCGACUGGACAAUAUAGAGCAUGUGGAUGGUGUCUGGCAAGUUUUGGCAAGUUCUAAAUCUGACUGCCCUACUCAAUGCUGGGAUGGGCCACAGUACCACCCGAAGGCCUGAGGAAAAAAAGUAGUCACCGCGGAGCGAAGGGAGGGAAAAUCGGGGGGCUCGGCGGCUAGCCCUAGCGCCGGUUAGCCCUGCGCCAGGUAUGAAUCACGCCCGGAGACGGCAGAAUUUGUCACCGUUGCCGCGGAUCAAUGAUAAUUACCUCCCUGACACGAGUACAGUUAUUACUUUACAGGAUCAGGGACGGGGGGACGGAGGGCCGGCGGCGGCGGGGCCCUGAUCGAUACCCUUCUGAAAAAUAUGGCUCUCAGCGGCCCCGUCCCGGGCCUCCGCUGCUCGACAAGCCAUUACGUCCCCGCGCCUGACAGCCCGACGCUGGAUAGGCGCGUUAAGCCUCCCGGUUCCGGGGCCCCCUCUUCCCUCUCAGCGCCCCCCUUCCGCCGGGUUACUGUGCCCCCCACACCCCCCCAGUACCCAACACUCAAUCUCCCUCUUCCCUUUGAUAGAGGGUGCCCAUUGGUGCCCAUGGCUGUAAGAUGCUGUAAUGAUUGGGAGAUGAUAAGUGAAGGAAUGGCCGCUCUGCAAGCAGUACUGACGCACCAUUCACCGAGGUGGAACAGUAACUCACUGACCGUCACCUGACACACCUGGUCAUGUGGGCAUCCAGUGAAAACACAGAGACACACAUACUCUACACAUAGCUAUACAAACGCACACACACAAACAGCACA